GAAGAAGAAAGGGGCUUAGGAUUUAAAGACCUUCACAGUUUUAACCUUGCUUUACUAGCAAAACAGUGUUGGCGGCUAAUCCAGAACCUGGACCCUCUCUGUGCACGAGUACUAAGCGCAAAGUAUUAUCCAAAGGGGAAUAUUCUGAAGGCAGGCCCAAAGAAAAGCUCGUCGUUCACCUGGCAGAGUAUUGUUGCGGGGAUUCAAACCUUC
rnacentral:rRNA from 1 species